UUGCUGUAACCGGCCCUGAAACCUCUGCAGGCUGGAAUACCAACAUAAAUAGCAGAGACAAAAUUCCACCUGUGCUUAUGGGGCCCGAAAGACUGAUGGACCUCACUGUGGUGGCCACUACCCUAUGCUUCUUCCACACCUUCUUGGCCUGCCGACUGCACGUUUCUUUCAGGAAUCUCUUAGCAAGGCUCGGCGCUGGUUCUCCUCAGCUUCCGCCAGAUGCCUACAUUACCUGCCUUCAGGUAAAACCCCUUCUGCAAAGCUUCCCAGCAAAUGGAGGCUGUUAUCGGAGUGACACACAGCUGCAUCCAGGCAGCCACGCCAGUGACACAUGGCUGCAUCUUUCACAUGAGUGCAUGGUGGAGCAAAAAAUCCUCAUUCCCUGCCGUCCUUAUCUCCGUACAAUUUGACCGAAGAGCCCGGGGGAGCCCCUGAAAAGCAGGUCCAGACAACUAACCAGCGUUUUCAAACGCCCUCCUCCCAGGAGGCAAAACAGAGAGAGAGAGUAGAGGGAACAGACGAGCUGGGAGGGAAUGCAAGAGAGACGGUUUUGCCAGCAGCCCCCCCUCUGGUGAGUUGGCAGCUCGCCUCCCUCCACAAUGCCUCCCACCCCUGCCUAAACCCCUCCUCCUUUUCAGCCCAUCGUUUCUGAGAUCAUCGCUACGGAAAUAUUUUGCCGUUCAUGCUGUAGGAGGCCAGACAGCACACCCCUGCCCCUGUUGCAGAGAUGGUCUGCAUCCUCCCCUCUUCUCCCCCACCCCCUUCCACAAGACAGAUGGUAUAUUCCUCCGGUACAGCGUUCAGACUUGAGAGAUCCAUUCUUCGGCGAAGAGCUGCNGCUGGCAACCUUGCCGUGUGCGUGUAGCGGACGGAGAAAGAGAGAGACAAGGGGAACAGUUACCUAGGCUGGGCACAAAGGAUCUGGGGCUUGGCAUCAGACCUUCCCCCCCUCCCACACACACCUUUGGCGUGCCAUGGCUCUUUUCGGCAGCAGAGAGGGAUGCUGGACCUACCUAGAGAUGACUCGAGAACCUAAGCUAAGCCAUUCCAAGCCUGCUCAGAAGAGGCAGCAUGAUGGAAGCCUGUACCUGUCUUGUGAGUACCAGAAGAUCCCNCCCCUCAUCAAUCGCAUCCCUGUCAAGACCAGGCAAAGGCACUUAGAGUAUGGAAACAAAACCAGCUUGGGUUCCCCUCAAGGGUUAAGAAGCAAUAGUAGUGCCACCACAGUCCGCACAAAGCUACGAGCAGAGGAGGUACACUCCAUCAAAGGGGAGCUAAGCCAGAUCAAAGCCCAGGUGGACAGUUUGCUGGAGAGUCUAGACCGGAUGGAUCAGCAACGGGAACAUUCAACAGCGAGUGCUUCUACAGGUUCCGUGGAAAGCAAGAAAAAAGCGCCCACUACUGCUGAAGCCUCGUACCUGGCAGGGGAUUCUGUGUGGAGGAAGGCACGCCCAGCAAAAGAUGGACGAGCCGCUCUGCAGGAUUUUGACAGUGCCGAGGAGAGCACAGAUACUGAAGAGGCGGUGAGCGGCUGGGUGGAUUUGGGGGUUCUCUNAAGACUGCAGUGA
ensembl:lncRNA